UACGUAGGGUGCAAGCGUUAAUCGGAAUUACUGGGCGUAAAGCGUGCGCAGGCGGUUGUGCAAGACAGGGGUGAAAUCCCCGGGCUUAACCUGGGAACUGCAUCCGAUACUGGAUGGCUUGAAUCCGGGAGAGGGAUGCAGAAUUCCAGGUGUAGCGGUGAAAUGCGUAGAGAUGUGGAGGAACACCAGUGGCGAAGGCGGCGCUCUGGGCCGGAACUGACGCUGAGGAGCGAAAGCGUGGGUAGCAAACAGG
rnacentral:rRNA from 1 species